rnacentral:ribozyme from 1 species
UAAAACUCAUCAUAGUCGAUGAUCGUAGCGAAGCCGAUUGCUGGAAUCGAUAUCGUCCGUAGUUUAUGGCAAUCCUAUUUGAAAUCACCAAGAGAUGAUAGGAUGUCGACGUCGA